CAGGGAAUCUUGCACAAUGGGCGAAAGCCUGAUGCAGCGAUGCCGCGUGAGGGAUGAAGGCCUUCGGGUCGUAAACCUCUUUCGACAGGGAAGAAGCCACGGGUAACCGUGGUGACGGUACCUGUAGAAGAAGCCCCGGCUAACUACGUGCCAGCAGCCGCGGUAAAACGUAGGGGGCAAGCGUUGCCCGGAUUCACUGGGCGUAAAGCGCGUGUAGGCGGUCCGUUAAGUCGGAUGUGAAAUCUCUGGGCUUAACCCAGAAAUCGCAUCCGAUACUGGCGGACUUGAGGACGGUAGAGGUAGGUGGAAUUCCGGGUGUACCGGUGAAAUGGACAGAUAUCCGGAGGAACACCAGUGGCGAAGGCGGCCUACUGGGCCGAUCCUGACGCUGAGACGCGAAAGCCAGGGGAGCGAACCGG
rnacentral:rRNA from 1 species